ACGCUAGCGGCAGGCCUUAUACAUGCAAGUCGGACGGUAACAUUGGUGCUUGCACCAGAUGACGAGUGGCGCACGGGUGCGUAACGCGUAUGCAACCUACCUUUUACUAGAGUAUAGCCCAGAGAAAUUUGGAUUAAUCCUCUAUAAUAUCUAUUAAUCUCAUGAUUUUUAGAUUAAAGUUUUAACGGUAAAAGAUGGGCAUGCGUCUUAUUAGUUUGUAGGUGAGGUAAUGGCUCACCUAGACUACGAUAGGUAGGGGCCCUGAGAGGGGGAUCCCCCACACUGGUACUGAGACACGGACCAGACUCCUACGGGAGGCAGCAGUAAGGAAUAUUGGACAAUGGACGAAAGUCUGAUCCAGCCAUGCCGCGUGCAGGAUGACAGCCCUAUGGGUUGUAAACUGCUUUUAUACAGGAAGAAACACUCCGACGUGUCGGAGCUUGACGGUACUGUAAGAAUAAGGAUCGGCUAACUCCGUGCCAGCAGCCGCGGUAAUACGGAGGAUCCAAGCGUUAUCCGGAAUUAUUGGGUUUAAAGGGUCCGCAGGCGGUCUUUUAAGUCAGAGGUGAAAGCCUACAGCUCAACUGUAGAACGGCCUUUGAUACUGAAAGACUUGAGUUAUUGUGAAGUGGUUAGAAUGUGUGGUGUAGCGGUGAAAUGCAUAGAUAUCACACAGAAUACCGAUUGCGAAGGCAGAUCACUAACAAUAUACUGACGCUCAUGGACGAAAGCGUGGGGAGCGAACAGGAUUAGAUACCCUGGUAGUCCACGCCGUAAACGAUGGAUACUAGCUGUUCGUCUAACAUUGGUUAGAUGAGUGGCUAAGCGAAAGUGAUAAGUAUCCCACCUGGGGAGUACG
rnacentral:rRNA from 1 species